CAUUUUUACAUAAUAGCAGUGAAGGGCUGUCCCUUUGUCUACCUGAGGAACUGUAUAUUUUGUCCGCUUUCAUUGUCUGUCAUGUUCAUAGUGUAGUCUGAUCUAUGUACAUAAUGCAUGCAGUACAUACCUGCGAAGUUCGUUCGUGAGCUGAGCCUGGGCCUGCCUGUGAUUUGAAUUGGAUUGGGGAACUCAUUGGCAUCAGUCCUGGGGGUCCAGUAAAGAGUGGAGGAAAGAAGAAGAAGAAAUCGGCCGUGUCUCCAAAGAUAAUUGCCCUCCUUCGUGGAAUCGUAGAGUUCGAAUCUGACUGGAAAACAGAGUAGCAGACAUCCAGCUCUCAUUUUUUAUGCUUCUGUCAAUUUGUUUUGAGAUGUGCUUUAUUAUGCACGAUUUUUAUUGUGACGAAUACAUGGAUGAGACAAUGUGAUGUAAGAAACCUGUAAAUUUCUAUUAUUUGUGCCUCAUCUUGAAAGCCUUUUCUCAACAUCCCCAACAUAAUGCAAAUAAAUAUAUAUAAGUAUUAGUAUAGUAUAGGAUGUAUGCAUCCAGAUGUGAAAGGCUUUGAUUUUUGGAAAGAGCCAAGAUAGUCCUUGCCAAGGAACAAAGUGAGUUUUUUAGAUUUUGUUGGUAAUGUAAGAAAACCUCAGCAGGUCCUAUUUAUAAUUUUAUACCUAUAUAAUUUGUAUAUUUGUUCUUUUGAAGGUUGUUUAUAGUGUUUUCUUGAUGAUAUAUGCUACAGUAUGCAAACAUUAUACCAUGUUGGUGUUUACCCUGGUCAACUUUAUAUACAGGGUGUCCCAUGAACAAUGCCUGACACACUUCUGAUAGCACACAGAUCAACUUAUUAAUACCAUUGGUAAGAGCAACAUUUCCUUAAGGCCCUGUCACAUUAGGCUUGCAUGUGACUUGCAAGGAAAUUUGUUUUGCUACCCAGGGGUCUGCGAUACUGCGAUACAACAAUAUUACAUUUUGAAAUAGUUGAGAAGAGGAUCGGUUGAAAAAUACAAAUUUUUGAGGUGCUGAGUAUGUACUAAUUUGUGUUUUCAAAGGUUGGCAGCUAUGCUAUGUACAUCAUCUUCAUCUUUUAUUGGAAACAUGUACAUAUUUUUCAUUGAGGCAAGUGGGUAUUUUGAGAACAAAAAUAGACAUUUGUAUGCUGUUUAGGAAAAUAAUGUACAUUAUGCCAUCUUCAAUCAUGAGAACUGAUGGCCAUAUUAAUUUGAUAUUCUUGGCCCGAACUCACAAAGGAGGCUUAAAGGAGAAUAAAAGUUAGACAGUCACAUGAUUUCAGUGAAUGGAGAAGAACAACAAGACUUAACAGUAAAAGUUUGAGCAAAUUUGGAUAAUCCGUUUUCGAGUUAUGUAUUUUUGAAGUUUUAGAAAAUCCUUAUUAUGGACUUCCUUAAGUUGGCAACUUCGCCAGAAUUUGUGAUGUCAUUGUGCUCAACUCUCCAUUGGUUAUGUACAGAGAGUUUCACUUUUUUCUAAUUUUCAUCAAAAAUAAUAUUUCCGCCAGUGUAUUUUGUUUUUGUAUGACAUGGCUACAUCAAUUCUGCAGUAUGUCUGAAAGAAUCAAUACAAUUGCCCUUUUAAUAUUUUAUAAAAAUAAAAUGUUGUGAAACUCUCUGUACAUAACCAAUGGAGAGUUGAGCACAAUGACAUCACAAAUUCUAGCGGAAUUGCCAACUUAAGGAAGUCCAUAAUAAGGAUUUUUUAAAACUUCAAAAAUCCAUAACCCAAAAAAGGAUUAUCCAAAUUUGCUCAAACUUUUACCAUUAAGUCUCAUUGGUAUUCUCCAUUCACUGAAAUCAUGUAAAUGUCUGACUUUCAUUCUCCUUUAAACUCUGUGGGGGGUUAAAUCAUGGUCUAUGUAGAUUUUGUGUAUAAUUUGCGCUUAAUUUAGCGUGUAUGCUGAGAAAGGUCCAAUAUGAAGGCACGCUGUAUGGCAAAGGGCGCUCAAUUCAUGCUUGUUGCUAUGAUUUUAAACCAUAGCUUUAAACCAUGGCAAAAAUCAUGAAUUUCUAGUACUUUGCCAAAAGCGUGCAUUUAUACUGGAUCUUUGUCAGCUAAUCAUACACAAAAUCUGCAUAAACCAUGAGAGAGAGAGGG
rnacentral:lncRNA from 1 species